GAUGAACGCUGGCGGCGUGCCUAAUACAUGCAAGUCGAGCGAACAGACGAGGAGCUUGCCCCUCUGACGUUAGCGGCGGACGGGUGAGUAACACGUGGAUAACCUACCUAUAAGACUGGGAUAACUUCGGGAAACCGGAGCUAAUACCGGAUAAUAUAUUGAACCGCAUGGUUCAAUAGUGAAAGACGGUUUUGCUGUCACUUAUAGAUCGAUCCGCGCCGCAUUAGCUAGUUGGUAAGGUAACGGCUUACCAAGGCAACGAUGCGUAGCCGACCUGAGAGGGUGAUCGGCCACACUGGAACUGAGACACGGUCCAGACUCCUACGGGAGGCAGCAGUAGGGAAUCUUCCGCAAUGGGCGAAAGCCUGACGGAGCAACGCCGCGUGAGUGAUGAAGGUCUUCGGAUCGUAAAACUCUGUUAUUAGGGAAGAACAAAUGUGUAAGUAACUAUGCACGUCUUGACGGUACCUAAUCAGAAAGCCACGGCUAACUACGUG
rnacentral:rRNA from 1 species